ACUGUUGCCCCAAUUGAUGCCCUGGAUCGGUCCAAACAUGUGCACCGCACUAUGCUGAAACCUCAUCGUGGCCCCGAACCUGUGAGCGAUCCACCGCUCCCUACUCCGACUGGGAGGGCCCCCCAGGAGGAUUCUAUGGAGGACAUUGGGUUGUUGAUGGCUCCUGGGCCUAGUAGAAAUCCUCUGGCCUUACCUCCCGCACCGGCGACAGUUUCUUUGUUACCGCCUCCUGCUACUGUUAGUCCCAGUGGGCCUUCCCAACCAUGUGACCGCGACCAGCUCCAACUGUCGCCUGCUGAGUCGGGGAUGGACUCGCUAGCGCUUCCAUGUUCUCCGUCUCGCAAUCAGGGUGGUCCCCCCUUGGACCAAGGCAGUGAUGAACCCAUGGUCACCUCCUCCGAGGGGCCCCUUGAAGGUCCUUCUCUGGAGGAUGAAUCGCUAUUACCCACCCAAUCCAACGACUGUACCAGUGGAGUACGAAGAACUGCUCGAGCAACCGCAGGUCAGCACUCUAACCCUCACCAUCUUCCAUGUCCAGCAGGAGGCGCCGUUUGAAGGAGUCAUAGUAUUUACGCAGGGAAGUGUUUCAUCGCCGGGACGUCGAUGCAAAUCCCAGGGGUAGAUUGUAGCAAAGUGGGCUUUGACGUUCCUUUUUCAUUUGCGGUGCGUGCGUCAUCACGUCACACCGACCUAUCAGCUGAUCUCACAGCUGAUUUCAUUCCAGCUGAGACGCCGGCUUUUGGCAAGCUAGGAGGAAUAGCUGUCGGUCAACGUGCUUUCCUUUGUCCAUCCAAACGUGCAUUCUGGUCUACUCUUUGCACUCCGAUCUGUUGCCAAAUUCAACUUGGCGUGACACGCUCUCCGCCUCGUACAAGUGUAUCUACCGGUGCCAUCAGCUGUUUGUUGGCUACCCUGUUCAUCUACCAAAGCUCCGAGAGCUCUCUCCUUCUGGCUCAGGUAGGCCACCCAAAUGACGCCACACGUUCGCUAAAGUUUUGAUUUGUUUGACUCGGGUCUAACCGAUGAUGUAUUUUGUUGUAGCGUGGGUUUGAGUUUCCUCUGACUCGUCGGCCUUUAUUGUCUCCCUCCUCGCCUCCUCUGCUGUUGUGGAACGCGCCUGGGUGUAGCUGCAGACUCCCGGUUCGCUCUGAAUUGCUGCUGUUUUGUCCCCCCUCGAUACGUGCUUCGGACUGACGCGUCGCAGUGUCCGGUCAUCCGAGGGCUAUCACUCCGAAAGCAUUCAGCAGCCCAGCAUAAGUUAACUUGCGCAGGUGGCGCAUGUGGCCGAGUUCAGUGUGUGCGUGAAUGUAGUCUGUGUGCAGGUAAUCCCAGAGGGAGGUCCUCUUCCCCCCUGGUGGUGGGUCCGGUCACGUGGUGUGCAGUGAAUUGCAGUGCAGUGCAGUGUUACCUGUGUGUGAGUGCAAUAAUUCACCUUCACUUAGUGUGUGCAUGGGCACGAGUGUUUGUGUGUACUUAUCCAAGACCUAUACAGGGGGCUUAGUAUAAUUCCCCCCUCUUGGGUGCACCUGCCCUGUAAUUGAGAACCCUCCCUUUUGUACUGAUUUGUGUGAGUGUGUAUGUGAGUGUGAGUGUGUGUGUGCAUUGUGGUGGGAAAUAUUUUAAACUGUCCGGAUUUUUAUAUUUAUAUGUGAAAUUGUUAAU